GCCUGGCGCAGCGGCGCGUGGCUGUAGUCCCAGCUACUUGGGAGGCUGAGGUGGGAGGAUCCCUUGAGCCCAAGGGUUCUGGGCUAUAGUGUGCUACAGCCCAGAUUGGGUGUCUGCACUAAGUUCGGUAUCAAUAUGGGGACCUCCCGGAAGCGGGGGACCACCAGGUUGCCUAAGGAGGGGUGAACCGGCCCAGGUUGGAAACGGAGCAGGUCAAAACUCUGGUGCUGAUCAGUAGUGGGAUUGUGCCUGUGAAUAGCCACUGCACUCCAGUCUGGGCAACAUAGCAGGACCCCAUCUCU
rnacentral:SRP_RNA from 1 species